GUCACCCCAAUAUUUUGUUUCCACGAGGAGAUAUAAAUUAGUUUUAAUCAAACAUUACAUACGAAAAAAAAAUACAGUACUAUGCACAUUAUAAAUACAUUUAUAUUUGCUACUAAUAACAAGUUCCGCUGUAGCACAAAGGCAAUUUCAAGCAAAUAGAGCGUAGGGGCUUCCAGGGUCCCCUUGUUCACAAUUGAAAUCCGGGUUCGAUUCCCGGCAGCGGAAUAUUUUUUUAGAACCAUGACCAAUUCAUCUUCAGCUUGCUCAUAUUUUAUAGACACUGUAGAACAAAAGGCAAUUUCAUGCAAAAAUAGAGCGCAGAGGUUAUCUUGUUCACUCUUGAAAUCCGGGUUCACUCAGAUUAUCAAUCAAAAACGUAUAAACUAUCAAAUAUACAUUCGAUUUAGAUUUCACUUACAGGACCAUGCCAUUGAUUCGAAAGGACAACGCAAACGAGAGAUCUUAUAAAACUCUUACGUGGGUUUGAAACUAUGCUAUCGAAGACGAUUUGUCUCUGCACAAAUGGCCUGAGGUUAACAGAAACUCGUGCCUUACCAACUGGUGUAAUCAGCUGGAAUUCUCG
rnacentral:lncRNA from 1 species